rnacentral:rRNA from 1 species
UACGGAGGGUGCGAGCGUUGUCCGGAUUUAUUGGGCGUAAAGAGCUCGUAGGCGGUUCAGUAAGUCAGGUGUGAAAUCUUUGGGCUUAACCCAAAGCGUGCACUUGAUACUGCUGUGACUUGAGUUCGGUAGGGGAGUGGGGAAUUCCUAGUGUAGCGGUGAAAUGCGCAGAUAUUAGGAGGAACACCGGUGGCGAAGGCGCCACUCUGGGCCGAAACUGACGCUGAGGAGCGAAAGCGUGGGUAGCAAACAGG